rnacentral:rRNA from 1 species
AUACGGAGGGGGUUAGCGUUGUUCGGAAUUACUGGGAGUAAAGCGCGCGUAGGCGGAUUGGUAAGUUAGAGGUGAAAUCCCGGGGCUCAACCCCGGAACUGCCUUUGAUACUGCCAGUCUUGAGUUCGAGAGAGGUGAGUGGAAUUCCGAGUGUAGAGGUGAAAUUCGUAGAUAUUCGGAGGAACACCAGUGGCGAAGGCGGCUCACUGGCUCGAUACUGACGCUGAGGUGCGAAAGCGUGGGGAGCAAACAGGAUUAGAAACCCUAGUAGUCC